AUGCUACAGCUGUGGUACAUAUCAUGAUCAGAGAGCUCAUAGUCUGUGUCAUAAGAGUGGGAGGAUUUUGUGGACAAUACGUCAGUGUCAUCCGAUUCAACAACCAUGCUCCGUUCAGAGGUAAGCGUUGGGCUUGGUACUGGCGGGGGAAGCUUGGCCAGGUUGUGCUAGUGGGCAGACUCAAUGGUUGCCAUAUGACUGUCCAGUGACUUAUCUCCUUGCGCAUCUCAGUGCGUCGAGAUUUGUGCCCAGGCGAGGAUGAGCGAUGGAGUUUAUUGGGAAGUGGAUCACAAGGGGAAUGUUGACCCUUCAUUAGAGUUGGAGCAUUUAGAAUGUUCAUUGAUCUAUUUGUGUGGCGGACUCAUCUGAUGAGAAAAUGGAGGCUCCGCCCCCAAACUGCACAAAUUGAGAUUUCAAUGUUCUUGGUUUGAAUUUCUGCCAGUGAGUGCAAGCGCUGCUACCCUGUGAAGCUGCAUAAGCAUUUUCAGCUCCCAAGCAAAUAAUACAAAUCGUGUUCUCAUCUGAGGCUGGGAGUUGUUUUUCCACACUGUUGACAUGGGUGGAAUGACAUCCUGUGUACAGCCCUGCAUCAGUGUGCAAAUAAUGAAUUUUCACAUAAGAGAAGUGUGUUCCAAGAAAAAGACUCCCAUAUAAAUAUGUAUCAAGAUCCGGGAUCAAAACUCCUGCCUAUAUGAAGCUACCUGACUGGCACGAUCAAGCAUGGACAAUCAGUCUCGGCGUUGGUGGACUCUGUCAUGCGAGGACCGGUGGUCUACUGCACCACUGAGCUCCGGGAUCAUAGCAAAACUCCAAGCGAGGGAGUGGUAAUGCUGGAUCAAAGGGCUGGGACUGGCACAACACCAUGGGUCAACAAGCGCCAACAACAGCGUGGAGUCUAUUGGGGGGACUAUGUUUCAUGAAGCCAUUAGAAGACUGUUGCUCACUGAGAGGAGUCAGGCAACAACCCAUACUGUACUGGUGGUAGGUAGCCCAGAGGCUAAGGAUUUGGACCUGUGGCAGGAGAUGGACCUGUGUCCGGUUUGAAUUCCGGGCCGGGCACUGGAAAAACGGGCAGAAUUGAUCUGACAACUGGAGGGCUGCUGGGUUCACAUCCUCAAAACAUUCCCCUACUGUUGGGCCCUUGACCAAAGCCCUUAACCCCAUAACAUGCUCUCCAUCCAGGUGUGCUGCACUGCAGCUUGAACCUGUGCUCAACUGUAUGUGUGAGGUCUGCUGUUUGGGGGGUUGAGCACAGAGCAGAAGACACAUUUUUGUUGUUUGCUGUAACUAACAGAGAAAGUUGUAUUGUAAAGAAGUCAGCCAGAGUUGACAUGGUCCACCGUUCAAGCAAAUAGAUGCCUCCCUGGCCACCAGUGCAUAUUUCCAAACUAUGUUUGCAUAUAAUAACAAUACAUUCUAAAAACUAUGCUGGUAAUUAUUAUUUACUUGUUUAUUACAAAAUAUUCUUAGCUAAAAAUAUUACUAUUUAAUAGUAGUAGCCAUAAUUCAUAAAUGGCACCAUGCAGGGUUCUAUGUGGAACCAUUUUGGUUCAGUGAAAAAUAACCUCUAGGGUUUUUUAUAACUUUUAGGGAUUCCGUAUAUGAAGCAAGCGAUAGAACCCUUUUUGGUUUUAUAAGGAACCUUCUUUUCUAAGAGUAUGGCUAAUAAAUGAGGAUGCUUAGGAAGGAGACAGAGAGCAAAUCCCCUCCAUAAGUGGUAUCAGCUAUCAGGCAAAUGGGCAGACAAUGGUUCCUAGUUGGUGCCUGGCUUGCCUAGUCAAAUUGAAGUAUCAUUGACAAAUCUUUACACUGCAUAUCUGCUAAUCAUUCUCUACCUUUCACUGGUGAACAAAGUCUCUUGGGGUCAAAUUAAGUGUACAUGAGCCUACCUCAUUAAGUCAAUUACAUUACAAUUACAUCUGAAUAAGUGAGCCUGACCCAGGGUAGACAUACAGGCAGCUAGUAAUGGUUGAUUUUUAGUAAACAAGGAAGUCUUUUGUUUUUAUUUGACCAUUUCAAUUAUCCAUCUCUCUCCAUCCCUCUCCCUCCUGGUACAGACAGACUACUGGAGCUUCCCAGAAACAGUAAUCACAUUCACUAUUAAUGAGACACGUUCAUUCUGGACCCAUUUACUGCUCUUAAUAAUGCAUACUCUCUGGAAUUGUCUGUGGGUAUAUUACACUGUGCAUAUCAAACACACACUCACACUCUCCAUGUCCUCCUGUAAGAGAGAUAUCUGGUGGUUCGGUCAUGUUGUCUGUCUGGCCUCAGGCUUAAUACUCUCCAGGAAAAUAUGAGAAUGUAUUAUGGGGGGGGGGGGGGUCUCAGGGGUUGUUUAAGAAGCUAAAAGACACAAUUACAUCUCUACAAAUGGACAAUAAACUACUCUUCUCCUUCUUCAGUCUUUAAUUUAUG
rnacentral:lncRNA from 1 species